GACAAGCACCAGGGAGAACACCAGCGUCAUCGGCUUGGCGGUCAGUGCCCAUUUCCACCUGUAACGACGUGAGGACGCGCAUGCAUUCGGGACAGACAUUUUCCUCUCAGCUCCCGUGGAUGCCUCUACUGGAAGCCUCUACUGGAUCCUCCAGAUCCACUGUCCACCCUUCUCCACUCUGCUCUGUGUCCUGAGACUGAUCUCUUGUCCUUUGCCAUCUGGCUGUUUGGCCAGCGAGGGUGUCUGAGCAUCGCAGGACUGUGAGGGCAGGAAAUUAGUCCUCAGGCUCCUCCCUGCAGGAACCGCUUAGGCGGGCCACCUGUGACAGUCAGGGGUCCUAUUCAUGGCCCCUUCCUAGAGCCCAUCGCUACCCUCUGCCCUCACCCCUCCAAGCCUCCUGCUUCCUUGCCCCGAGGUCCUGCACCAUGCCUACGGUUUCCUUAAGCCCUGCCCGCACCUUUAAAAAUAGUUCCUUAUUAUUUUUACAUCACGUCACCCACUUUGAAGGCACCAUCUGUUUCCUGAUGAAGCCUUGACUGGUAGGGUCCUGAGAACACCUGCAGCCUCGGGGGCAGACAUGCGCGGGCUCUUCAUGGACUGUCACCGCCAUUACUACGGCGUGACCCUAGGCAAGUAAUUUAGUCUCUUUAAAACUGUUUUUUACUUGGUGAAAUGUGGAUGACACUAGUACCCACUAUUGAAGGUUGCCAUGAGGAGAAACGCAGCCAUCGAGAGGCUUCACACAAGGUAGCGCGUACAGUAAAUGCUGGAAAAGAGCAGUUCUCUUUAGAAACACUGCGCUCCAGCCUGGACCGCAUCCCCACCCGUGCCACCAUCCUCUCCUACUCAUCCUCAUCUGUCCAGCACUGCCAACCAGUUACCAGCCCGCCAUCGCCCCCUUCUGCCUGGGAACAUGGACAUGGGGGUCCUCCGCUAACUUCUCAAAACUGAUUUUCAUCCUUGACCACCCCUGCCGGUCACUUCUGAGGUCUACCUUCCUUCCUCAUUGUCCCCAAGAGCCACUGCCCCUCAGACGUGCUGGCCUUCUAAUGGGUCAUUCUGGCACAACUUGAACAACUUCAGACUCAUUAAAACAUUACCAGCACCCUGGAAUUGUCUACAGUGCUCCAGACCCAGGUCUCCACGGGGUCCUGCUCAGGUCUCUGCCCUGUGUUCCUGUCGCUCUCUGACCACCUGGCCUGUGCCAGCCCGCCCACACCAUGGCUUCUCCUACUGCCGACAUCCUGAUGAGUCCCAAAUCCAGAUUCCUAGACCUGAUCCAUAUAUUCAGCCAAGCACCCCACUCUGAUGUCACACAAGCACCUCAGACACAGCAUGUCCGAACUGUCCCCAGUCCCCUCCUCCCUGACUCCUAUUCUUGUUAUGAGCACUUCACCCCUCAGUCAGACUCCCGGGCCAGCAACCCUGAGGGUCACCAGUGACUCAUCCCUCCCCCCAUCCCCCCGCAUAUCCUACCAGUUUGCCAAGUCCUGAAGGCUUUCUCUCUCCUUAUCUUGUGAAUCAGUCCCCUGAUUGAUUUCACUGCUGGCUCACUGGUCUUUCCUCUGGUGAAUUUCAAACGCCCUCCCAUCAGCUCCUCCUUCUGCCAUGCCACCAAAGCAAGCUUUCUGUGUCCAUAUUUGAUCAUUCUACAUAUCUUUCAUCACUUAAGCAUCCCAAUAAUGUGAUAAGGUAGGCUCUGUAAUGAUCCUUAUUUUCAGAGGAGCAAAUGGAAGUAACAGAGGUUAAGUCACGUGUUGCAGGUGCACGCGGCUAGUAAGAAAGAGCAGGUGGAGCCUAGAGAGUGUUAACCAGCUUCUGGCCACUGCAGUAUUUGCCUCUGCUUUGCUUCCACCCUCUCCCACCUUUACCCCCUCUUCACUUUUCCUUACAGAGACUUAAACUCCUUCAGGGUUCCCAUUGUCUACCCUGCAGGAUAGAGCCCCAACUCUUGGGCUUGGCACCAAGGGGCUCCGCAAGCCAGUCCUUGACAGCCUCCUCACUGCAGCUGUUACUCUUCCCAGAGAGAAGGGCCCCCAGCAGCUUCCUCAACAAGCUUCCUUCUUUCUGCUCCCUCACCAGUAAUGCAUCUUAAAUAAGAUGCAUUACUCCAACCCUCACCCCCAUGUUGUACCUGGUGAAUUCCUGCUUUCUCUUUGAGUUUCACCAUAAGCACCUCCUCCUCCAAGAAGCCUUCCCUGACCUUCCCAGGCUUUCUGUGCCCGUGUCCAUACGACAGCGCUUGGCAAGCUGCUACCACUCCCCUUACAUGUCCGUCUCCAGGGGGCGGGGCCCCGGCUCUACUGGUCUUUAGAACCCCAGUGCCUGACACCUGCUAGAUUUUUCAAAAGUUGGUGAAUACAGAUAAAGCAACUUGUGAAGGGCAAGGGCAAAGAAAGCAGCAGAGAUGGCUAUGAACAGCGUUGUGUUGUAACAUCCGUUAUAUAUAUGUAUUGCUUUAACACAGAAAGAUUCUAACCUUUAUAACUACAGACCAUCUCUAUUCAUCACACUUCCUCAUUACAUAUUGAAGCUGGAAUCUGCCCAUGGAGUCUUUAUUCUCUCAACCAUCCUUGAUUAGACAAAUGAUGUCAUGAUGUUGGGAGGGGUUCCUUUAUAAAAUCCAAAUCAAAUAACUCUUCUUCAAAGUUAAGCUUGUUUCAAUCAAAUAUAAAUAUCACCCAGCCCUAGAACCACUUUCACAGUUUAAACGCAAAAUCUUAUCUUGCAGAGACCAUUAAGAGUGUGACUGGGAACUGUGUGUGAGGGGUCAGAGGUCUAACAGAAAUGAAAGUCCAAAAAAGAAUGUGUCUGGAUGGACAUGCCUGAUUUCUAUAAUAAUAGUCCAAUAAAACAUCACAUCCCCUAUUGUUCAGGCCUUCCUCUUAGGAAGAACUGGGUUCCAAACUGACGUACACUGAUCCAUUACUAAUUACUGAUUUCCUCUUGAAGGGUCAGAUGACUCAAGAGUAACACUCUUGAUGAUUAAAUAACAAAAUAGUUGCCCUUCAUCUGGUUAAAAAAGCGUCCAAGUUUAUGGUAAAAUCUCCAUAUAGGUAGCAUUUUUUGAAAAGAGGGGUUGUUGAGAAAGCAGAAAGUUAUACUAAAAUGAUUAAACUUGGUUACCAGUCACUUCAUGGAAACUCCAUAUCCCGCCCAGCCACUGGAUCAGAAAGCUGACUCUAGCCUAGAGGUGUUCACUUGUGAGCCAAAAAUUCAAAUGUGUUUCAUAUACUAGUUACAAAGGCGGUAAAUUAAAUUAAUACAUUUUCUAAGAUCUCCCAACAGGAGCUGAAAUGACCAGAGCUAAAUAUUCAGUUAACCAGAAAAUCACAAGCUCCAGGAGUCCACUGUUGAGCAUUCCAAUGGCUCAAGACAUUCCAGAUGGUUCUCAAAAAAGAGACAGGCAUUAACUCUGUGAAAUUUUUUCCUUGGAUGAUAGAUCAUCAACUGAAUCCAGGUAGAAAAAAGGUAAAUAGCUGGAAUGGGGCAUAUUCUAGAAAGGGUGAGAGAUAAGAAGAAAAAUAACUGGUGUUGUGAGCAUUGCCAUUUUAUGUGAGAUGGAUCCGUGGACAGAGGGUAUUCAAAUGGCUUUCAUUGAAAAUCUUUGUGAAAUUCUCUUCUUUCCAGUGACCACCCCAGCCUGAACCACUUUAUGACAGAAAAGUGUCUCAGUUCUUUUCCGCUGAGCUCUUCUGUCUGAACAUCCUCAGUUAAUCCUUGAAGAGGAAAACUAAUGAUCUGCAAAGAUGGCCACCAACAUGCCUUCCCGCCACCACCCCCCCGGCCCCCCACGCACAGGCGGCCUCACCUCCCUCUUCUUGCAUCUGGGCUGUCUCUGUGACUUGUUUUGCCUGAUGGAUGCUGCGUGGGUGACGCUGUGUGACUUUCCAGCCUCUCCCUGACGAGGCUUUGCAGCUGUGCAUUUGCCCUUUUGGAAGCCAGCUGCCAUGCACAGGUCAGGCUAGGCUGCUGAAUGAUGAGGCCAUGGAGAGACAGAGAGGGAGAGUGAGAGCUAGAGAGAGAGAGCAAGAAACAGAGGGCACUCACCCAAAGCGGAACCCAAGCCCCCUGACCAACAGCCCACACCGAGGUCCUAGGCAAGUGAGUGAGGCCAUCUUGGAUUUUCCAGUGACAGGUGAGCGGCCCCAACAUCAUAAGAAGAGAGAUUCCUGCCCAGUCACAGCCCUUCCAGCCACUCAGCCGAGGCCCCUAACAUCACAGAGCAGAGAGAUGCUCCCUGCUGAACCAUACCUGCCUCUCUGACCCACGAGAUCUGAACAAAUACAGUGAUGAUUAAGUCCACUAAGUUUUGGAGCAGCCUGUUACCUAGAAAUAGAUGAUUCAUCCAUAAAAUGCGGCCAGUUCUAUCAAGGGCGCCUACCUGCUCACACCGGUGAGGUGCCGGGGAUAUGCGUGUUUCUGGGAGCAGGGAAAGUGCUCAGCGCUGUCCCAGGACCUGCCAGGCAAGGAACACUCCACCAGAGUGGAUGCUGUUGCUACUGUCAUUGUCAAAGACAGACUGAAUGACUCGCCAGUAAUGUCCUAAAGGGAGAUUGUUCUCAAAGAAGACUGUUUCACACACCCCCUGAGGCCCUUUUCCUGUCCGCAUAUUCGGUGAGUACUGAGACAGAGGUAACCUGAGCACAUUCCCCACGCCUCAUGCUCCUGAUGUGAGCGCACCUGCAGUAGAAAACAGCGUGUCCUGGGAGAUCACAGGCCCUUCUGUGGACACCGGCUUAGAGAAGCAGCCCCAGGCAGUUCUUCCAGAAUGACUCCCUCCCCUGCCACUUCUGAGGAGCAAAGCUCCUCUCCUGGCCUCGCAGAGACUCCAUUGGACCAGUUGGGUGUUCUUUCCAGGGAGGUAUAAAUGGGGCACAUAGGGACACACCGUUGAUGUCAAAGAGACCCCAGAAAGAUGGGUGGCCUUGGUGAACAGCAGCCGUGGGAAUAGAGCAAAAAGACCCCAAGUCACCACAAUGGAAGAUAACACAAGACCCCUGCGGGAACCUGGUUCCUGGGUCUUUUCGUUCUCUGCCAGCGAUCUUGAUUCUUUUAUGGUACAAACAGUGGUUGAGAAGGGAGGUAGGGCUUCCAGGGACCUGAAGAAUUUCUUCCACUCCUUUCUGACAUUCCAAACCACUUCUGCAUCCCAGGAAGCCUCGACGCUGACCUUGAAAAUGAC